UAUCUCUCCGUACGGGGAAGGAUGAGAAGCUUCGACUAAGGUUCGAUUCGAGCGCAGCGAGAAAGCGUUGCCGCAGGCAACGACCCGAAGGGCGAAGCGCGCAGCGCUGAGUAAUCCUUCCCCCGUCAUCC
rnacentral:sRNA from 3 species